rnacentral:rRNA from 1 species
CGGGCGGGUGAGUAAUGUCUAGGGAAACUGCCGAUGGAGGGGGGAUAACUACUGGAAACGGUAGCUAAUACCGCAUAACGUCGCAAGACCAAAGAGGGGGACCUUCGGGCCUCUUGCCAUCGGAUGUGCCCAGAUGGGAUUAGCUAGUAGGUGGGGUAACGGCUCACCUAGGCGACGAUCCCUAGCUGGUCUGAGAGGAUGACCAGCCACACUGGAACUGAGACACGGUCCAG